rnacentral:rRNA from 1 species
AAGGGUACGUAGGCGGUUAGAAAAGUUAGAAGUGAAAGGCUAUAGCUCAACUAUAGUAAGCUUUUAAAACUGUUUAACUUGAGAGAUGGAAGGGAAAGUGGAAUUCCUAGUGUAGCGGUGAAAUGCGCAGAUAUUAGGAGGAAUACCGGUGGCGAAGGCGACUUUCUGGCCAUUAUCUGACGCUGAGGUACGAAAGCGUGGGUAGCAAACAGGAUUAGAUACCCUGGUAGUCCACGCCGUAAACGAUGAGUGUUAGGUGUCUGGAGUAAAUCUGGGUGCCGCAGCUAACGCAAUAAACACUCCGCCUGGGGAGUACGCACGCAAGUGUGAAACUCAAAGGAAUUGACGGGGACCCGCACAAGCAGCGGAGCAUGUGGUUUAAUUCGAAGCAACGCGAAGAACCUUACCAAGUCUUGACAUAUUUUGGAAGCACUUAGAGAUAAGUGCCUAUAUCUUCGGAUAACUGAAAUACAGGUGGUGCAUGGUUGUCGUCAGCCCGUGUCGUGAGAUGUUGGGUUAAGUCCCAUAACGAGCGCAACCCCUAUGGCUAGUUACCAUCAUUAAGUUGGGGACUCUAGCAAUACUGCCGGUGACAAACCGGAGGAAGGUGGGGAUGACGUCAAAUCAUCAUGCCCUAUAUGACUUGGGCUACACACGUGCUACAAUGGCAGGUACAGAGGGCAGCGAGACGGUGACGUCAAGCGAACCUCAAAAAGCCUGUCCCAGUUCGGAUUGCACUCUGCAACUCGAGUGCAUGAAGUUGGAGUUGCUA